UGUUCGCGCCCGGAUUCGAACCGGGGACCUUGUGCGUGUGAAUCACAUGUGAUGACCGCUACACGC